ensembl:lncRNA
AUGAAAGGAGCCCACAAACCAAGCCGGAGCAUGGCACAAGCCUUGAGGAAUGACAGCGAGAGUGAAAAGACCCGAUGGAUGAAUGAAAGCAGAAAAGCAUGGAUGGAAGGAGGAAAAGGUGGCUUUAUUACCUGCAGACUCCAACCGAGAGGGGAUUUAACACACGCAGCCAGCUGCGGAGGACAUCCCGAGCCCCUAAAAAUGCGAGAUGUUUCUCCUAGUUGCUCCCGCAGACAGGAAUCUGCUCGCAGAGACGCGAGCCACGCUCUCCCCCAGGAGAGAAGUACAAAGGCCAGUCUGCACGCGGCAGAUGCAAAACCAAGUCCCUCUGCUGCAGGCUUCCCAUCGCCACAUGGAGAUUGA